UACAGAGGGUGCGAGCGUUAAUCGGAAUUACUGGGCGUAAAGCGUGCGUAGACGGUUUUGUAAGUCGGAUGUGAAAUCCCCGGGCUCAACCUGGGAAUUGCAUUCGAGACUGCAAGGCUUGGGUGCGGAAGAGGGAAGCGGAAUUUCCGGUGUAGCGGUGAAAUGCGUAGAUAUCGGAAGAACAUCGAGUGGCGAAAGCGGCUUCCUGGUCCAGCACCGACGUCAGGCACGAAAGCGUGGGGAGC
rnacentral:rRNA from 1 species